rnacentral:piRNA from 1 species
UUUCUUAAGAGCUCAUGUGACCAGGU